AGGGAAGGAAGCUGGAGAGAGAUAGGUGGAGAGAAUAAACCAACCGGAUCUCACAUGUAGAAGCAGAAACAGCUCCGACAGGGUCAACUCAACGCGUUUCUUUCACGGUCCAUGCAGAGAAAUUGGGAGGCAAACGGCGAUCCUCGGAACAAUCCUCCUCGUCUCCUCCACCUCUUGCCGUCCCCAGCCCCCCGUAUGCUCGCUACUCUCCCCCCGUCAUGACUGAUCUUUCGCUAGAGAACAACAAUGCUCCCACCCUGGCGACUCCAUAGCACUUCAAAGGGGGGUGGACAAAGGAGCAGGCUCGGGGCGGGGGAGGAAAGGUAAAUAUCGCCCCCCACCCAUCCACCCACCUCCUGCCGCCGCCGUCCCGGCCACGGUCCUCAGCGCCGCCGCGCUCGGGAGCCCUCCGCUCCGUCCUCCCCUUGCCAGCCCCCGUGUUGUGCUUUCUCUUUCUCUCUCCUCCUUUCCUCCUGCCCCUUUCCCUGUCUCCUCCUCCCGGCUAUUGUGCUGUCCUCCGGGCGCACACGCUCUCCGGAGCGUCGGCGCGUCCCGCGGCGGGCCCCGCCGCUACCCCUCGGUGCCCGAGCGCCCCGCAGCCCCGCGGGAGGCCCCUCGGCGCGGCUCUGGCGGCGGUUGGCGGCGCGGCUCCGGCGGCUGCCCGCGGCUGCCCAUCGCGCGGCCCGGCUCUGGCGGCGGCACCCCGAAUCGCAGCGCUGCGGAAGGGGAGGAGAGGGAAAGAGCCGGGCGCGGCGAUUGACACGGCGCCGGGGCCUCUCUUAAAGGGGCAGCCCGGGCCGGCGGAGGGAGGCCGUGCCCCCGGGACACUGCCGGGCUUGGGGAAGCCGGCCCGGAGCCGUUACCGGAGGCAUACUCGGAGGCGGCCGCCGGGGAGACAAAGGCGCAGAUUUGCACACAGAGUACACGCCCGUCCGUUCGCGCUUGCGGCCACGGACCGUUCACCAACCGAGACAGGAGCGAGCAGAGCUCGACUCGGACAAGCUGUAGGUAGUGACCCUGUGUCUGCACUGCAACCUAGCACCCACCUAGCAUAGACAGGAAGACAUCCUGCAAAACCUGCCUUUGGACCUCCAGAACCAUUAUCAGUGCUCCUAGGAAAGAGACAGACCAGUUUGUCUGCUCAGUAACAGCCAAGUGAAACUACAAGAAUGCACCACAGGUGUAGAUAAUACUCAGCUGAGGGACUGCUGCUGCAGCCACACUGAACUUGUCCCCCCUAUAGGUAAAUUACUGUCCUUCAAAUGACAGUAACUGGUAUUGUGUCCAAGUUUACUUCUCUGACACACUUCAGGAGUGCUCAAACUGCAUAACAAGACACCUGCUUAUGUCCAAAAAAAUAC
rnacentral:lncRNA from 1 species